AGUGAACGCUGGCGGUAGGCCUAACACAUGCAAGUCGAACGGCAGCACAGUAAGAGCUUGCUCUUACGGGUGACGAGUGGCGGACGGGUGAGGAAUACAUCGGAAUCUACUUUUUCGUGGGGGAUAACGUAGGGAAACUUACGCUAAUACCGCAUACGACCUACGGGUGAAAGCAGGGGAUCUUCGGACCUUGCGCGAUUGAAUGAGCCGAUGUCGGAUUAGCUAGUUGGCGGGGUAAAGGCCCACCAAGGCGACGAUCCGUAGCUGGUCUGAGAGGAUGAUCAGCCACACUGGAACUGAGACACGGUCCAGACUCCUACGGGAGGCAGCAGUGGGGAAUAUUGGACAAUGGGCGCAAGCCUGAUCCAGCCAUACCGCGUGGGUGAAGAAGGCCUUCGGGCUGUAAAGCCCUUUUGUUGGGAAAGAAAAGCAGCAGGUUAAUACCCCGCUGUUCUGACGGUACCCAAAGAAUAAGCACCGGCUAACUUCGUG
rnacentral:rRNA from 1 species